UGGAAUACUGCCUCACAAAGAGAGUCACUUUGAGCUGGAGGGUCAUAGAUUUAAACCAUUCAACCCAGACAGUUUAAACUACAUCCUUUAAAGCUAAAGUACCCUUCAUUAUAAGAUCAGGAUUACUAGAGAGAGCAGAAUGGAGAUGUGUGAAGACGAUUAUGUAAAUGCAGAGGUCCUGAAGAAUCAUAUGACCAGAGUCAACCAGGAACCCAAGACCUCAGUUUCUGCAAAGAACACCGCAGGAACCAGAUGCUACAAACUGACUGCAGUGUGUCUGGGGCUGCUGUGUGUUCUGCUGCUGGCUGCCAUCCCAGUGCUGUGGGUCAAGUUCAAAGAACUGACUACAGAGAGAGACCAGUUACAGACCAGCUACACCAGCCUGACUAUAGAGAGAGACCAGUUACAGACCAGCUACACCCGCCUGACUAUAGAGAGAGACCAGUUACAGACAAAUAAUGACAACAUGAAGAAUGAGAGGGCCAAUUACAGAAAGAAAAGGAAACGCUCCAGAAGAAACUGUCAGAAUUAGAGCAAGAAAAGAAAACUUCCAGAUACAGUUUCUACUACACCUCUACUGAGAAGAAGAGCUGGAGUGAGAGCAGACGGUACUGCACAGAGAGAGGAGCAGACCUGAUGAUCAUAAACAGCAGAGAAGAACAGGAGUUCAUCAGUACAGUAUUUGGCAGCACUGAAGCUUGGAUUGGUCUGACGGACAUUGACACAGAGGGGGUCUGGAAAUGGGUGGACAAUUCAGCACUGACCACUGAGUUCUGGUGGACGGGGGAACCCAAUGAUUAUAAUAGAAAUGAGGACUGUGCUGUAACUGGAUAUAGAGGUGCUGGAUCUGAACGUGUAUCAACCUGGGCUGAUUAUCCCUGUGAUUAUCCUGCAGUUGGAAUCUGUGAGAAAAGAUUUUAAUGUAGUCUACAUGAGAGUGAACAGCAACUGAUUUGUCUAUACCUUUAACAUUAUACAUUAUAUAUUUUACACUGUAGACUUACUCAUACAGCAUUUAUCUGAUCAAUAUUUUUGAAAGAAUAUGGAUUCAAGUACAGCAAAGAUAAUAGUAAAUGUUUUAAUUCUACCUGAACCCUUGUACUCAAGAAAUCGAGCCUUCGCCAAGUCCUGAGCCAUCAGUCACUGCCUGACAAGGUUUUGAGCUGGUAUUCCGUCUUUAACUUAUAGGCCUUCUUAGGAUUAACUGAUGUAAUCAAAAUAUUUCAUAAAAUAACACAUUAAACAGUAUAAUACUGAAUAAUUCAACAGUUUUUGAAAACUUUCACCUCAUUUUGUGACUCAAACGUGCCUCUGGGAACAACUUCUAGUGUGACUAUUCUUGAUGAUUCUUACUCAAAACUUUUAUACUUGUUUACUGUUUACCCUCAGAGUGUUGUCUUUCUCCUCUCCUUUAUAUUAUGUAGACCGAUGAGUGUUAUUCAUUAUAAGGUUGGUGGACGAUACAGUGAUUGUUAAUCAUUUAUGCUAAUGGAGCUGUAGUUCAGGACGUUGUGUCAUGUUGUAAUUAGUCAUUUCUUCAUCUGAAUGUUAUGAAAACAGAGGAUAUGGUUGUUAAUUUUAGGAAGUCUUUACAGCCCCAUAUCUACAAUCAUGAUUCUCAUGUUAGCAGUGUUUAUCUACUACUGUCGUACUGAAGAGCUCAGAGACUUUAAACCUGCCACUGUCAUAAGACGCCACUUUUGCCACAAGACAGUUCAUUAAGAUUCUGCCCUGCUAGAACUGCACUGGUUAACUUUAAGUGCUAUUAUUAUCAUAUGGAA